rnacentral:rRNA from 1 species
AUUGAACGCUGGCGGCAGGCCUAACACAUGCAAGUCGAGUGCGAAAGUUCUUCGGAAUGAGUAAAGCGGCGGACGGGUGAGUAAUACAUGGGAAUCUGCCUGGUAGCGGGGGACAACGUUUCGAAAGGAACGCUAAUACCGCAUACGCCCUACGGGGAAAGGGGGGAUCUUCGGACCUCUCGCUAUCAGAUGAGCCCAUG